AGGGCGGUACCUUGACGGUACCUAACCAGAAAGCCACGGCUAACUACGUGCCAGCAGCCGCGGUAAUACGUAGGUGGCAAGCGUUGUCCGGAAUUAUUGGGCGUAAAGCGCGCGCAGGCGGUUUCUUAAGUCUGAUGUGAAAGCCCCCGGCUCAACCGGGGAGGGUCAUUGGAAACUGGGGAACUUGAGUGCAGAAGAGGAGAGUGGAAUUCCACGUGUAGCGGUGAAAUGCGUAGAGAUGUGGAGGAACACCAGUGGCGAAGGCGACUCUCUGGUCUGUAACUGACGCUGAGGCGCGAAAGCGUGGGGAGCGAACAGGAUUAGAUACCCUGGUAGUCCACGCCGUAAACGAUGAGUGCUAAGUGUUAGAGGGUUUCCGCCCUUUAGUGCUGCAGCAAACGCAUUAAGCACUCCGCCUGGGGAGUACGGUCGCAAGACUGAAACUCAAAGGAAUUGACGGGGGCCCGCACAAGCGGUGGAGCAUGUGGUUUAAUUCGAAGCAACGCGAAGAACCUUACCAGGUCUUGACAUCCUCUGACAACCCUAGAGAUAGGGCUUCCCCUUCGGGGGCAGAGUGACAGGUGGUGCAUGGUUGUCGUCAGCUCGUGUCGUGAGAUGUUGGGUUAAGUCCCGCAACGAGCGCAACCCUUGAUCUUAGUUGCCAGCAUUCAGUUGGGCACUCUAAGGUGACUGCCGGUGACAAACCGGAGGAAGGUGGGGAUGACGUCAAAUCAUCAUGCCCCUUAUGACCUGGGCUACACACGUGCUACAAUGGGCAGAACAAAGGGCAGC
rnacentral:rRNA from 1 species